GAUUUGCUAAAAAGAGGAUUUGCUAAAGAGAGGAUUAGAGAAUACUAAUUGGAGUUGCUUGGUGGUGAAGCAAGCUUAGUGGAGAAGAAGGCUUGGAAUUGAGCUACUUCCUUCAUCUUCUUCAUCACUUGGAUUAGAGAAGAAAGCUUGUUUAAGGUAAAACCGAUGCGGAGGAUCAUUCGGAUUGAGAUUCCGUUGAGCCGAUGGUGGUCAAAGUGAAGAAAAUUCUAUUUGCUUCAAUUGUCACAGUUGGAAGAAAUCAUCGGCCAUAAAUCGUGCUGCUAGGCUACUCGCUUCGUGUUGACAUCACGAGAGCCUAGUUCGAGCGCGUGUGUCGAGGAUCGCGGCAAGGGCGUCGCGCAGUAGAUAGAGUGGAUCACCGGCGUUAGCUCCCUACCCUCGAGAAUAAAAAAGAAAA